GACAGAGGAUGCAAGCGUUAUCCAGAAUGAUUGGGCGUAAAGCGUCUGUAGGUGGCUUUUCAAGUCCGUCGUCAAAUCCCAGGGCUCAACCCUGGACAGGAGGUGGAAACUACCAAGCUGGAGUACGGUAGGGGUAGAGGGAAUUUCCGGUGGAGCGGUGAAAUGCAUUGAGAUCGGAAAGAACACCAACGGCGAAAGCACUCUGCUGGGCCGACACUGACACUGAGAGACGAAAGCUAGGGGAGCGAAUGGG
rnacentral:rRNA from 1 species